CAUCUUCUCCAUUUUUCUACAUCUCCCUUUUCAGCCAUUUUUGCCAUCCUUCAUCUUCAUUUUUCUCCUCUCUUCAAAUCACCACUACGACCCUUUUCCUCUUAUUCUCCUAUUCCUCUCUCCAUCAUCGAACACCAUUUCUGCCCAGUAUCUUUUUGGUCAUGAAUAGAAAAGAGUACUUAGGCCGAGUGGCAGUGUUGAGUUUUAAGCAUGUUUAGGCUAAUGGCAGCAGUGAAUAUUUGUAUGUUUCAUAGGUAGUAAUAGUUGAUAUGGCAUUGGAGCUCGGAGAUCAAAUUAUAGAAUUAGUUAUGAUUACGAGUAAUACAAAGAUUGUAUCCAGCAAUUAUCGAGAAAGAGCAGGAAAAGGGGUUGAAAGGUAUACAUUCAUUAACCAACAGUGAAGCAGGUAUGAUAGAUUAGUGGUUAAAAAGUGAUCACCAACUCAGGCAAGAUGUUAUUCAUCUAUGGCAUGAUUAUCUAGGCGGAGGCCAUUCCGAAAUGAAGAACACCUACAACAGAGUUUCAAUUCUUCUCUACUAAGCAUGGAGGAUUUUAUUGAUAGCGGAAGAACUAGUAUCUUGGUGAUUGUAGAUAGAUUGACCAAGAACAGCCAUUUCAUUGCUGCUAUUAAUCUGCUUCUUUUGUGGCAGACUUGUUUAAACAUAUUGGAAGUGACAAUAUAGGAGCCAUUUGCAUGACAGGGAGUCACUUUUUCCGCCUUCAAUCCCCAAUCAGAUGGACAUACAUACUGACUGAAGUACUAAACAAAACCGCGUGUUAUUACUCAAACAGUCAAACAUGAACUGGUCUCUUAAUCUUCCCUUGGCUGAGUGGUGGUAUAAUUGAACUUAUAACUCAGCUAUUUAGCUCAUCUCAGGUUUCAUUUGCAUAUAGUAGCUCAACACUAGAUAACAUGCUUUGGCCAACCAUAAAACAGGAGUGACUUGAAAUUGCAUGUGGGAGAUUGGUUUUAACUAACCUUAUGCUAGACAGCUGCUGAUCUUGUCCAACCAAGCAUUCACUAAAUGGUCAGCUAAGUAUUAUACCCUCAUGUGGCCAUUUAUUCUACUUUCUACCAUUGUUUCAUUGUCACAGUGUACCAGAUACAUUUAACCAUUUAGCCAAGUCCCUAUUGUGUGGAGCCUCAAAAGUAUUCUUGGGAGGAGGAUG